CAAUAGCGUAUAUUAAAGUUGUUGCGGUUAAAAAGCUCGUAGUUGGAGUUCUGCCAGGUGCCGUCUGUCCGCCCCAGUGGUGAGUACGUGACGCGCAUUUGGCCCUUUCAAGGGGAGCGUAUCUGCACUUUACUGUGUGGUGCGGGAUCCUUGACUUUUACUUUGAGGAAAUAGGAGUGUUCCAAGCAGGCUCUCGUCGUGCACAGCUCAGCAUGGAAUAAUAGCAUUGGACCUCGAUUCUAAGCUGUUGGUUGCCAGAAGCGAGGUAAUGAUGAAGAGGGAUAGUUGGGGGCAUUCGUAUUUAACUGUCAGAGGUGAAGUUCUUGGAUUUGUUAAAGACGGACUACUGCGAAAGCAUCUGCCAUGGAUGUUUUCAUUGA
rnacentral:rRNA from 1 species